GUCCACUUGAUAGAAGGUUUUAGCACUGGUUUUACAAGAAGAGAAUUGUGCAAAUUUUAUCUACAGGCUUGUCCUAUCAAGGUUGAGCGGCAGGUGGUGUCGUGCGAGGCUGAGGGAGGAUGUUGUUGUAGUUUCAUAUAAUAAUUUUCGCUGCCAUAAUAUUCACUUAGGUGGAUAUCUUUUGAGAUUGACUCUUUAAAUAUUCUUAGCCUAAUUAUUAUGAACUCUUUUGGC